CCUACGGGAGGCAGCAGUGAGGAAUAUUGGUCAAUGGACGAGAGUCUGAACCAGCCAAGUAGCGUGAAGGAUGACUGCCCUAUGGGUUGUAAACUUCUUUUAUAUGGGAAUAAAAUGUUCCACGUGUGGGAUUUUGUAUGUACCAUAUGAAUAAGGAUCGGCUAACUCCGUGCCAGCAGCCGCGGUAAUACGGAGGAUCCGAGCGUUAUCCGGAUUUAUUGGGUUUAAAGGGAGCGUAGGUGGAUUGUUAAGUCGGUUGUGAAAGUUUGCGGCUCAACCGUAAAAUUGCAGUUGAAACUGGCAGUCUUGAGUACAGUAGAGGUGGGCAGAAUUCGUGGUGUAGCGGUGAAAUGCUUAGAUAUCACGAAGAACUCCGAUUGCGAAGGCAGUUCACUGGACUGCAACUGACACUGAGGCUCGAAAGUGUGGGUAUCAAACAGGAUUAGAUACCCUUGUAGUC
rnacentral:rRNA from 1 species